UACAGAGGUCUCAAGCGUUGUUCGGAUUCAUUGGGCGUAAAGGGCGCGUAGGCUGCGGGGCAAGUCGGGGUGUGAAAUCUCAGAGCUCAACUCUGAAACUGCACUCGAUACUGCUUUGCUUGAGGACUGGAGAGGAGAUUGGAAUUCACGGUGUAGCAGUGAAAAUGCGUAGAUAUCGUGAGGAAGACCGUGGCGAAGGCGGAUCUCUGGGACA
rnacentral:rRNA from 1 species